rnacentral:misc_RNA from 1 species
UACAGAGGCCCCAAGCGUUAAGCGGUGUCACUGGGCUUAAAGGGUGCGCAGGCGGAGGCGCAAGUGCCUUGUGAAAUCCCACGGCUCAACCGUGGAACUGCAUGGCAUACUGCGUCUCUUGAGGCCGGUAGGGGUUGCCGGAACUGUAGGUGUAGCGGUGAAAUGCGUAGAUAUCUACAGGAACGCCCAUGGUGAAGACAGGCAACUGGGCCGGUUCUGACGCUGAGGCACGAAAGCGUGGGGAUCAAACAGG